GGCAGCUGCAGCUCUCCAGGUGUCAAAGUGUCUUUAGAGGACUCCUUAAGUCACUGCCUGAGUGUGGACGCCCCCUGUCCUUCAUCGUCCAGCACUGAUCCCUUCUCCGAACCCCCCACUACUGAAGUGGACAUCAGACACCUUGCUGCGAGAAACCCCCAAGGUCAGUUGUCUCUCAAUUGGCUGAGCACAUGAAACAAUAUUAUUGUGAUGACUCAAAAUACAUGAGUGCACGUCCACGUCACCAUUCUGUGUUCCACCAGCCUGGAAAUACAGUGAAACCUCGGAUUAUGAGUAACGCAGUUUAUGAGUUUCCCGCAAGACGAGCAAAGAUUUUUAAUACAUUUUGACUUGGAAAACGAACAAGUCUUGGUUUACGUGCACCGAGUAUCAUGUAUCACGCAUGUGCUUGAUACAUGAAAAGAAAGAACGAAGUCUUAUGGAUCCAGCAACAGCAGUAACACCAAGACAACAAAAUCCAAGAGCCCGUCCUCCAGCAGCCCACCUGAAAACAGCAAGAAGAUGGAAAGCCUACAGGCUCAGAAUCCUACUAAAAUUCCAGCCAAGUUCUCAAGCACCACAUGCCCCACAGACUCUUAAAAGGAGCCUUGCUCAGUAGCUGGUCCACACCACAUCUCAGACAGUUUAAUUGUAUCUGAGGCAAAAAUCCAGGAUCCUCAGCUGAUCAAAAACAACACGCACUCAGUGUUGGAAAUGGACCAUUCUAGGGACAUCACCGGAAAAUCUGAACUUGAAGAGGAAGACAUCACACAUACAGAUGGCAAGAUUGAAAAGACGUUGCCUGAUGGAGGACAACUUACGGCACACGGAUAGAAGUGUCUGCCGACGGACUGUCAGUCAGAGUCGCUUUUUUCAAUGGAGCAGAUAUUGCCAGAUCAAAGAGUGGUGCGAUAUGUGGACCGGGGGACUGUCAAGAAUAUUCGAAUGUGCCAUGUGUAUCCAUUGGUGCUUUGUGAGAAUGUUCCUCAGCUGUGUGUGCCUUGCCAGAUAAAUGGAAUACUUCCUGUGAGCAAAUCUAGCUAUCUGUCUUUCUGCCUCAGUGUAGAAUUUGUUGACAUGGCAUUUGCUUCUCACCUGAUUCUCACCAGGCUUGGUGACCGUGGAGAUAAUACUGGGUGGGAUGCCACUAAACCAACUCAUGGUGCACCACCAGCACGCCACCUUCGACCCGUCUUUCGGAAACACUGAGGGCUUGGAGAAACCGCCAGCCAUUUUAAGGGUGUACACUGACCUCAGACUUCCAGACAAGGGGAUGUCCUGCUGGGUCAAAAUUAAGCACGUUCGCACCCCUAACGAGGUGUUUUUGAGUGUGUUGGAUGCAGCGGAACAGGAAGCCCCAGAGGAAGCUUUGAGCCAAGUGAACAGUGAUAUUGAUUCUUUUUUAUAUAUAUAUAUAUAUAUA